UACGGAGGGGGCUAGCGUUGUUCGGAAUUACUGGGCGUAAAGCGCACGUAGGCGGCUUUGUAAGUUAGAGGUGAAAGCCCGGGGCUCAACUCCGGAAUUGCCUUUAAGACUGCAUCGCUAGAAUCGUGGAGAGGUGAGUGGAAUUCCGAGUGUAGAGGUGAAAUUCGUAGAUAUUCGGAAGAACACCAGUGGCGAAGGCGACUCACUGGACACGUAUUGACGCUGAGGUGCGAAAGCGUGGGGAGCAAACAGG
rnacentral:rRNA from 1 species